rnacentral:rRNA from 1 species
GACGAACGCUGGCGGCGUGCCUAAUACAUGCAAGUAGAACGCACAGUUUAUACCGUAGCUUGCUACACCAUAGACUGUGAGUUGCGAACGGGUGAGUAACGCGUAGGUAACCUGCCUGGUAGCGGGGGAUAACUAUUGGAAACGAUAGCUAAUACCGCAUAAUAUUAAUUAUUGCAUGAUAAUUAAUUGAAAGGUGCAAUUGCACCACUACCGGAUGGACCUGCGUUGUAUUAGCUAGUAGGUGAGGUAACGGCUCACCUAGGCGACGAUACAUAGCCGACCUGAGAGGGUGAUCGGCCACACUGGGACUGAGACACGGCCCAGACUCCUACGGGAGGCAGCAGUAGGGAAUCUUCGGCAAUAGACGAAAGUCUGACCGAGCAACGCCGCGUGAGUGAAGAAGGUUUUCGGAUCGUAAAGCUCUGUUGUAAGAGAAGAACGGGUGUGAGAGUGGAAAGUUCACACUGUGACGGUAUCUUACCAGAAAGGGACGGCUAACUACGUG